rnacentral:rRNA from 1 species
AGCGAACGCUGGCGGCAGGCCUAACACAUGCAAGUCGAACGAAGUCUUCGGACUUAGUGGCGGACGGGUGAGUAACACGUGGGAACGUGCCUUUAGGUUCGGAAUAACUCAGGGAAACUUGUGCUAAUACCGAAUGUGCCCUUCGGGGGAAAGAUUUAUCGCCUUUAGAGCGGCCCGCGUCUGAUUAGCUAGUUGGUGAGGUAAAGGCUCACCAAGGCUACGAUUAGUAGCUGGUCUGAGAGGAUGACCAGCCACAUUGGGACUGAGACACGGCCCAAACUCCUACGGGAGGCAGCAGUGGGGAAUCUUGCGCAAUGGGCGAAAGCCUGACGCAGCCAUGCCGCGUGGAUGAUGAAGGUCUUAGGAUUGUAAAAUCCUUUCACCGGUGAAGAUAAUGACUGUAGCCGGAGAAGAAGCCCCGGCUAACUUCGUGCCAGCAGCCGCCGUAAAAC